UAACGCUUCUAUAUGUUUUAAAAUCCUGUGUACACAAACUGUGAGAAUGAUUUUAGGAUACUGUAUUUUAUUUGCUCUAAUAUCAUAUUCAUAUGGACAGUCCCUGACUUCGUCUGCUUCUGUGGUGAAGAAACCAGGAGAGUCGGUCACUCUGUCCUGCACUGUGUCUGGAAUCUCGCUUAGCUGGUUGCACUGGAUCCAUCAGAAACCAGGACAAGGACUGGAGUGGAUCGGGCGUAUUGAUGCUGGCACUGGCACAAUAUUCGCUCAGUCUCUACAGGGCCAGUUCUCCAUCAAUAAAGACACCAGUAAAAACUUGCUGUACCUAGAAGUGAAGAGUCUGAAAGCUGAAGACACGGCAGUUUAUUACUGUGCACGAGAGUCACACUGA